AAAAAAAAAAAAGAUGAAGAAUACUUUCGGUGACCAAUUGUCUUGAUGUGCCUGGGACUGAGGCGUUGCCCCGGAAAGUACUGUGAUGUUGAUUAGUCUCUGGGAAAUUUGGGGAAGUGCAGUCCCUGAGUUUAGGCUCUAGCACAAGCAGGGGGAGCAGCAGACAGAGGGUGAGGGAGAAGCACAUUCCCCGAGGGAGAAGCAGAGAGCCUGAUGCAGGACUCAUCCUAGGACCUGAGCGGAAGGCAGAUGCUUAACAGACUGAGCCACCCAUGCGCCCCUCUUUUGACUUUUUUAACUGAUAAUGUACUUCUUAUUGCUGGCAGCUGAGCCUGAAGAGGUUUAAGUGAACAUGUGGGACUUCUGCUUACAGGCGACUGACUCAGCCCCUAGGAACCACUAUUCUGUUCCGUUUCUGGGAGUUUGACAGUAAAGGAGAUGAUCUUCCAUAAUGCAGCUGGGCCUCAUCCAGUCAACAGGGCCUCAUCCAGUCAACAGAAGGUCAAAAGAACAGAAGACUGAGGUUUCCCAAAGAAGAAUUCCAUCUCAAGGCUCGAGUUUCCAGCCUGCUGGCUUUACAAAAGUUUUGCUUACCCGCCCCCUAAUCAUGGCACACACGUGUUCUUCCUCUUGGGGACCUGCUGGACCCCGGAAGUUGCGGGGAAACACUGCAGUUGCCAUCUGAGCUGGUGCUCUUGCUGCUCUACCCUGGUUAGGCCCGAUUCUUCAUCAUUGCCUGGCUUAGGCUCCUGGGCUGGGCACAGCAAGGAAGUCACUGUCUUUGGAUUUUCAGGACACCUGGAGUUUCCUUAGACUUCCUUUAUGCCGUCUAACCUCUGCCCCCUGCCACCUAGACUCCCCCUCCCAGGUGUUGCCGGUGGCUGAACUUUUAGUUCAGAAUAAAACCAAGCCAUUUUAUUAAUUGUUGCAAAGCCUAGGAUGACAAAUGAGCCCCGACACUGAAACCUCUGAGCUGUCUAGAUUUUGACUAAAUCUUUGAACCUGAGGGCAAAUUUAUUUUGGAAAUUACUGACUUCUGAGAGGAAGAGGGAAUAGCAGAUGAAAUGUUGUAGACCUCAAGACACUACUGAUACUACUAGAGAGUAUCAGUUAAGAUACUCUUAAGACACUACAAUACUCUUAAGAUAUACUUAAGACACUACUGAUAAAACUACUAGAGAUGUCAUCCAAGGGGAAAAGGUAAUGAAACUCUCAAGAUAAGCGUAUUCAGCAAGGAACUGUUUGGAUUAUAGAAGUGUGAUGGAGACAGGAACUGGAAGGUGGCACCAUGUUUAUGAUGUGCCCAUUAUCUGCCAGACACAGCGAAAUGCAGCGCUCUCCAUCAUCUUACUUAAUCUCAUAAGAGUCCAGUGUUUUUGCUGUAUUUUAAGAUAAAGAGCUGAAAUUCACAAUAUUUAAAGAAUUCUGCCCCAACUCUUAGAUUUUAAAUAACAAAGCCAGUAGAAGCAUAUUGGGUUCACCCAACUCCAAAGUGUAUGAUUUUCUCAUACACUUGAGGAUAAGAAACUUAUUUUCUAAACAUAAGUCAUAAUAGGCAGUAUCAAUUUAAAGUUUAGCAGAGUCUGAGGCCAUUUCCUUACUGUGAAAUAUCAUGCAUAUUUCCGCAGUAACUGGAAAGCAAAUUAGGGAAGGUUCCCUCCCCCCACUUAAUUUUAUCAAACAAAUGAUCUUACAAUUAUAUAAGAAGUCGCCCAUUAUAUUCUAGCCAGUGGCUUGGCUUCUUGUCCAAACCUCACAGUGAAAUAUGCAGACUUUCUGGAACCACACAUUAAAAUCUCUGCGGUUGAAUCAGCCCUUCCUUUUUCUGCAAAACCUAACCUCAGUACUAUUCAGCAUAUAGAGAACUCCAGGGAUGAGAUCCUUAAAGCCCAGUGUCAAAAGGUGAGUACCUGAUAAUCAUCACCUUAAUUUCACGCUUGUGAAAACUGGCUUUGUCCUAAUUUAUUCUCAGACACGUGGGUCUGUCCUGUGGAGAGGUGCCUUGUUUUAUAGCCUUGUAAAGAGAUUGACCCCAAAUCUGGCAUACAUAUAAAGUAAGGCAAUGAUGUUCUUCUGUAAACAAGCUCAGAAGAAAAUUCCUCAACAGAUAAAUCGGUGAGCUAUUCUGACAUUUCCCAAAUAAGCAUAUAGUCUCCAAGGUGAUUAUUUUGAAUGACAACCCUCCUGUGGGGCAUGAAAUGGAGUAGAUUUGACAGGGCUGCUGAUGAGCCGGAAGAGCACUGAACGUUGAGUCACGAAGCAUCUGUUGGCCUCCCUGCCGGGCAUCCAUCUCCCUGUGAGGCACCUUUGCCUUCUGCUGCUCCCUGAGGGGCAGUGGAAGUCACCUAACCUUUCUGAGCUCCUGCCUGCGUUUGGGACACUGUUGAAUGACACCUGCUGACACAGUUGUGAUUAUCAGGUGAAGCUGACAAUAGAAAACCCCUCAAAACAGUGGGGUGCAGGAACAGAAUGUGGUAACUCAUUCAUGGUUAACCUCCAGGUGAAGUCCCACAGUCCGAAGCCAAGGCCUUCAAGUUCUUAGGAAACAUCAGUGAUGUUAAUAAUUAGUCUUGAAGAGAAAUUCCAGAGUCACCUGUGUGUGUGUGAGGGCCAGUUAUUUCUGUACUCAGCUUGAUAUGGAAAGCCACCAGUAGAAUUCAUUUGUUUAAUUUCACAAGCCCCAGAAGACCAACGGAUGCUGCUUGCUUUGGAAUACUGGAACCAGGUCUCAGCAGUUUUCACCGACUCACUUAAUCCUUGUCUAGAGUUAAUGAGAUCAGAGUAAAUAAACAUACUAAGAACCCAGUGCUUUAAACCUUUAUGGUAUUUUAGGAGGCCAGGAAUGAAGUCAUAUUUAUCUUGUGUAGGACUGGGUUGGGUGAAGAGUAGAGCAAUAAUGAGUCCAUUCUGUCUGUGGGCUCAAAUGCGUCCUUGGAGAUUUCUCCUGGAGGCAAGAUUGUGCUACAGCUAGAAGGCAGAAGGGAGCCAAGACUUCACUCCUUCCUAGUCCUAGUCCUUCCAGGGCAGCUCCUUUGAGUUUUCAGUCACCACCCGUAUAGCUCACAAGCACAGGGAGCUUGAGGGCCAUUUCCGCUCCUACCAGGGAUAAACGGCUGUUGGUCAAGUUACCAAACCUCUCUUUGUCUUGGAUACCUCAUUGGUAAAGUGGGGAAAAUAAUAGAACCAAUUUCUUUCGUGCAUGUAAAGCAUUUGAAGAAGUGAGAAGCUGGAAAAAUGGCAUUUAAAAGCAUCAAUUUGGAAGAUAGAUUGCCUGGGCUCAAAUCCCAGCUCCACCACUCAUUUGCUCAUAUGCUUUUCCAAGAAUAGGGUGGUUAAUAGGACUAGCCUCAUAGGUGAAAUGUGCCAGUGCCUGGGUGGAUCUAACAGGGUCAGCACAUAGGAAGUGCUCUAGGGAUGCCUACUGUUAUAUUAUUACUUGUGUCCGGGAAAAGUCUCAGACAUUGUUUGUAAGGCUAUGGAAAUAAAAAGUUAAAAAUUUCCAACAUUA